CAGUUUCAGUUGACCCCUCUAACCAAAGGAUGCCAGCAGAGUUGGGGCCCACACACCCAGUGGAUGCAGCACCCGAGGGGGGGGGGGGCAGCAGGUGUGCGGGAGAUGGAAAGGAAAAUUUAGAGAGCAGAAGACCAUCUCUCUGGUGGCAGGUGGUGGGGAAUCCUCCAUGCACGGGUGUGUGGAGGCGUGUGGGGAGGCUGGAGGCCUGUUCCUGCCCAUCAGCCCACAGCUUCCUCUUCAUCUAACCUCCUUCUCCUCUUCCUCCUCCUCCUCUAUAUUUUGACUCAGACUGGUGGUAAAAGAACAGCCUGCCAAAAUAUUAAACACCGGCCUCAUUAAAAUGAUCUGUUGUGCUUUCUUCCCCAGAUUGGAGCAACGACAUGUAAACAUUUAGUUGAUGAGGCUUGAUUUGUUCAAAUGAAAAAUCCUUACUGCUCAACAGAUAUAUAAAUUGAUAUUACAUAUAUUCCUGUGUCGGUUUGCAUAGAAAACUGCAAAUUACCAGUAAAAUGAAAGUCAGAGUUCCCUAAUCAAAAUGUAAAGUGAUUUGAUUUAUUUCAUUUUAGUCAUUCAAGGGAGAUUUUGCUUGUCUUUAUGAAAUAGGAAUAUCUGCGGACAUUGAGACAUUUUUUUUUUACGUGACAGGUACUGGCUCUGUGUGAAUCACAACCAGUUACAACGCCAGAGUUACAACAUGCACGGAACAAUAGAACAUUUACACAGGAACGACAGCAUAGAAAGUCAACAGGUAAAAAUUAGUUUUGUUAUUUUUACAAAACAGACAGCCUCGGGACCUACAAACAACAUUGUAUAAGAGCUGGCUAAGGUUGUUCAAAUAUAGUUUUUUCAAUUAUCUGGAAACAGUGUACUUUUAUAAAGACUGAUGGCUUAGGCAAGGUUGGGGUCAAUUUCACUGAGAGUUUAAAAAGAAAAGAAACUACAGUUUGUGUUUUAAUUCAUACUACAUUUAGUUGGUCUCAUGCUCUAACACUGGUUCAUUUUAUUGUGUAAUGUGUGUUUUACUCCAUCAAGGCAUUCUGAAUCGACCCCAACCCUGUAAUACAGUGCUAGAUUCAGAGUAUGUGGCAUUGGGCUCUACUUGCUAGAGCGGUGGUUCUCACCUGGUUUGGAAAGCAUCACAUCCUUGAAAAGGUGUCUAUGGGGUUCUAACAGAAAAUAAAAAAAAUACCUGAACCUCAUAUUGGCUAAAUUCAGCAGCUAGCGUGACAAACAACUUCUAUUAUAAAUUACAAAAAAAUGCAUUUACAGUACAGGGAGCCUUGUCAUUUAAAGGUCUGAGA
ensembl:lncRNA